UACAGAGGGUGCGAGCGUUGUCCGGAAUCACUGGGCGUAAAGGGCGCGUAGGCGGUUUGGCAAGUCUAUGGUGAAAGCUCGCCGCUCAACGGCGAGUCGGCCACGGAUACUGCUGAACUCGAGCACUGUAGAGGCAGGUGGAAUUCCGGGUGUAGCGGUGGAAUGCGUAGAGAUCCGGAAGAACACCGGUGGCGAAGGCGGCCUGCUGGGCAGUUUGGCUGACACUGAGGCGCGACAGCGUGGGGAGCAAACAGG
rnacentral:rRNA from 1 species